UUUUUUUUUUUUUUUUUUUUUUUUUUUUUUUUUUUUUUUUUUUUUUC
rnacentral:ribozyme from 1 species